rnacentral:rRNA from 1 species
AUACGGAGGAUCCGAGCGUUAUCCGGAUUUAUUGGGUUUAAAGGGUGCGCAGGCGGCCAUUUAAGUCAGCGGUUAAAUCGUGGGGCUCAACCCCAUUCUGCCGUUGAUACUGGGUGGCUUGAUUGCGGUCGAGGUUGGCGGAAUUCGUUGUGUAGCGGUGAAAUGCAUAGAUAUGACGAAGAACACCGAUUGCGUAGGCAGCUGACCAGACCGCAAAUGACGCUCAUGCACGAAAGUGCGGAGAUCGAACAGGAUUAGAUACCCUGGUAGGCCGCACAGUAAACGAUGAAUACUUGUUUUCGGCGAUAUAAUGUCGGAGGCAAAGCGAAAGCGAUAAGUAUUCCACCUGGGGAGUACGCCGGCAACGGUGAAACUCAAAUGAAUUGACGGGG